UACAGAGGUCCCAAGCGUUGUUCGGAUUCACUGGGCGUAAAGGGUGCGUAGGUGGUCGGGUAAGUCUGAUGUGAAAUCUUCGAGCUCAACUCGAAAAUGGCAUUGGAUACUAUUCGGCUGGAGGGUUGGAAGGGGGACUGGAAUUCUCGGUGUAGCAGUGAAAUGCGUAGAUAUCUGGAGGAACACCGGUGGCGAAGGCGGCAUCCUGGACCGACACUGACACUGAGGAGCGAAAGCCAGGGGAGCAAACGGG
rnacentral:rRNA from 1 species